rnacentral:rRNA from 1 species
UCUGUAAGCCUGUGAAGGUGUGUCGUGAGGCAUGCUGGAGGUAUCAGAAGUGCGAAUGCUGACAUAAGUAACGAUAAAGCGGGUGAAAAGCCCGCUCGCCGGAAGACCAAGGGUUCCUGUCCAACGUUAAUCGGGGCAGGGUGAGUCGACCCCUAAGGCGAGGCCGAAAGGCGUAGUCGAUGGGAAACGGGUUAAUAUUCCCGUACUUGGUGUUACUGCGAAGGGGGGACGGAGAAGGCUAUGUUGGCCGGGCGACGGUUGUCCCGGUUUAAGCGUGUAGGUGUGUGUUCCAGGUAAAUCCGGUUCACUUUAACACUGAGGCGUGACGACGAGGCACUACGGUGCUGAAGCAACAAAUGCCCUGCUUCCAGGAAAAGCCUCUAAGCAUCAGGUAACAUCAAAUCGUACCCCAAACCGACACAGGUGGUCAGGUAGAGAAUACCAAGGCGCUUGAGAGAACUCGGGUGAAGGAACUAGGCAAAAUGGUGCCGUAACUUCGGGAGAAGGCACGCUGACACGUAGGUGAAGUGAUUUACUCAUGGAGCUGAAGUCAGUCGAAGAUACCAGCUGGCUGCAACUGUUUAUUAAAAACACAGCACUGUGCAAACACGAAAGUGGACGUAUACGGUGUGACGCCUGCCCGGUGCCGGAAGGUUAAUUGAUGGGGUCAGCGCAAGCGAAGCUCCUGAUCGAAGCCCCGGUAAACGGCGGCCGUAACUAUAACGGUCCUAAGGUAGCGAAAUUCCUUGUCGGGUAAGUUCCGACCUGCACGAAUGGCGUAAUGAUGGCCAGGCUGUCUCCACCCGAGACUCAGUGAAAUUGAACUCGCUGUGAAGAUGCAGUGUACCCGCGGCAAGACGGAAAGACCCCGUGAACCUUUACUAUAGCUUGACACUGAACAUUGAGCCUUGAUGUGUAG